AACGUAGGAGGCAAACGUUAUCCGGAGUUACUGGGCGUAAAGGGCGUGUAGGUGGUUUCGUAAGUCUGGCGUGAAAUUUUUCGGCUUAACCGGGAAAGGUCGUCGGAUACUGCGGAACUAGAGGACGGUAGAGGCGUGUGGAAUUCCGGGUGUAGUGGUGAAAUGCGUAGAGAUCCGGAGGAACUCCAGUGGCGAAGGCGGUUCUCUGGGCAUUACCUGACGCUGAGGAGCGAAAGUGUGGGGAGCGAACAGG
rnacentral:rRNA from 1 species